GCUGUGCACCAUGAGCACCCCACAGCAGCCAGGCUGUGCACCAUGAGCACCCACAGCAGCCAGGCUGUGCACCAUGAGCACCCACACUCACAGCAGCCAGGUUGCACACCAUGAGCACCCACAGCAGCCAGGCUGUGCACCAUGAGCACCCACAGCAGCCAGGCUGCAGACUAUCAGCACCCACAGCAGCCAGGUUGCGCACCAUGAGCACCCACAGCAGCCAGGCUGUGCACCAUGAGCACCCACAGCAGCCAGGCUGCAGACUAUCAGCACCCACAGCAGCCAGGCUGUGCACCAUGAGCACCCACACUCACAGCAGCCAGGUUGCACACCAUGAGCACCCACAGCAGCCAGGCUGUGCACCACAGGCACCCAUGGAGUUUGGGUGCAGGAGCUCCAUGAGCUCCUACAUGGCUCUGCUGGCUCAGCAGCCCAAGAAGAGCAGCUCUGACUGCCUGGGGAUGCUAGGCUGAUAUUCACCGGCCCUGAGCUUGAAACAAUCCUUUCUGGGGUUCUCUUCAUAUCUGUGCUGCUAUGUCCUUCCCUCCCUGACCACGCCAACGAUGCUGCCUGGGGCUGUGAGACCGAAACACGACAAGCCCGCGGCCAGAGCUCACGGUGCAACCGUCCGGCACACAGCCCACGUAAAGCAGUCCAGCUGAUGGUAGUGCUGCACAUCUGCAGGAAGAGAAGCAUUCCUGUGCCGCUGUGAGAGCCCACUGUGGUGUGGUGAGCACAAACCUGCUGCGUGGAGACUUCCCUGCCCAGAGAGGCCACCUGGCAUCGGCGCUUCCCUGGGCAGUCAGAGCAACUGCUCACACCUGCGCCUGGUGCCGCUCUCUGCACAGCCAGCCGAGAGAAGCAGGUGAGAAAACUGCAGAGCACUGCUAGCCCAACCAUCAGGAGUCUAGCUAGGGCAGGACUCUCCUGGCACAGAGGCACAGAGGCUGUUUGCUCAGCAGCAGCUAGGCUGGGAAAUAGCCUUGCAAAGCUGCAAUUGCAAAUGGGCUCACAAGCGCCUCCUAAGCCCCCCUCGAGCAGAUUAAAUCAGAAGGCAACUCCUGCUCGGUACCAACACGAAUGUAAAUAAGCUUGAGGAUCAAAAGAGAAGCUUGUUCCAGCUGCUCAUUCUCACCUCUCUUACCUCGAGUGCUUUUUUCCUCCUGUUGAAACUCAUUAGCACUGUGGAGCUCAACUGCUUCUCGUCUUCGUUUUGGACCUAACCACACAGCAAGAAGAGAAGUGAAGGUGGCUCCAGCAUUUAGAGCCAAGAGAGCUGCACUGUGGGGAUGCCAGCCUGCUCUGUCUCCUCAAUGUCUUCCCUUUCCUUCUCAGGUUGAGGUUGGGAUUCAAGUGCUGCUUGUCCUCCUUGCCCUGCUGACGUUCAGACAUCUCUGUGUGUGAACCUUUGCGACGCUAAUGCCUAGCAAGUCUUGUGCCAGCUGCAUGUAUCACUGCUCUGUCAGAGAAAACAAAUAAAGCCACUACACUGA